rnacentral:rRNA from 1 species
UACGUAGGGGGCAAGCGUUGUCCGGAAUCAUUGGGCGUAAAGCGCGUGUAGGCGGCUCGGUAAGUCUGCUCUGAAAGUCCAAGGCUCAACCUUGGGAUGCGGGUGGAUACUGCUGGGCUCGAGUCCGGAAGAGGCGAGUGGAAUUCCUGGUGUAGCGGUGAAAUGCGCAGAUAUCAGGAGGAACACCAAUGGCGAAGGCAGCUCGCUGGGACGUGACUGACGCUGAGACGCGAAAGCGUGGGAGCAAACAGG